UACGUAGGGGGCGAGCGUUGUCCGGAUUUAUUGGGCGUAAAGAGCUCGUAGGCGGUUUAGCAAGUCAGCGGUGAAAGCUCGGGACUCAACCCCGAGAGGUCCGUUGAUACUGCUAUGACUUGAGUCCGGUAGAGGAGUGUGGAACUCCUGGUGUAGCGGUGAAAUGCGCAGAUAUCAGGAAGAACACCGGUGGCGAAGGCGGCACUCUGGGCCGGUACUGACGCUGAGGAGCGAAAGCUAGGGGAGCAAACGGG
rnacentral:rRNA from 1 species